AGCGAACGCUGGCGGCAGGCCUAACACAUGCAAGUCGAGCGCCCCGCAAGGGGAGCGGCAGACGGGAGAGUAACACGUGGGAACGUACCCUUCAGUUCGGAACAACCCAGGGAAACUUGGGCUAAUACCGAAUACGUCCGUAAGGAGAAAGAUUUAUCGCUGAAGGAUCGGCCCGCGUCUGAUUAGCUAGUUGGUGAGGUAACGGCUCACCAAGGCGACGAUCAGUAGCUGGUCUGAGAGGAUGAUCAGCCUCAUUGGGACUGAGACACGGCCCAAACUCCUACGGGAGGCAGCAGUGGGGAAUAUUGGACAAUGGGCGCAAGCCUGAUCCAGCCAUGCCGCGUGGGUGAUGAAGGCCCUAGGGUUGUAAAGCCCUUUCGGCGGGAAGAUAAUGACGGUACCCGCAGAAGAAGCCCCGGCUAACUUCGUGCCAGCCGCCGCA
rnacentral:rRNA from 1 species